rnacentral:rRNA from 1 species
UCCUACGGGAGGCAGCAGUGGGGAAUCUUGCACAAUGGGGGAAACCCUGAUGCAGCGAUGCCGCGUGAGUGAAGAAGGCCCUUGGGUUGUAAAACUCUUUCGUCGAAGAAGAAAAUGACUGUACUCGAAUAAGAAGGUCCGGCUAACUUCGUGCCAGCAGCCGCGGUAAUACGAAGGGACCUAGCGUAGUUCGGAAUUACUGGGCUUAAAGAGUUCGUAGGUGGUUAAAAAAGUUGAUGGUGAAAUCCCAAGGCUCAACCUUGGAACUGCCAUCAAAACUUUUUAGCUAGAGUAUGAUAGAGGAAAGCGGAAUUUCUAGUGUAGAGGUGAAAUUCGUAGAUAUUAGAAAGAACACCAAAAGCGAAGGCAGCUUUCUGGAUCAUUACUGACACUGAGGAACGAAAGCAUGGGUAGCGAAGAGGAUUAGAUACCCUCGUAGUCCAUGCCGUAAACGAUGUGUGCUAGACGUUGGAAACUUAGUUUUCAGUGUCGCAGCGAAAGCAUUAAGCACACCGCCUGGGGAGUACGACCGCAAGGUUAAAACUCAAAUGAAUUGACGG